rnacentral:rRNA from 1 species
GGUUUGAUCAUGGCUCAGAUUGAACGCUGGCGGGAUGCUUUACACAUGCAAGUCGAACGGCAGCACGGACUUCGGUCUGGUGGCGAGUGGCGAACAGGUGAGUAAUGUAUCGGAACGUGCCUAGUAGCGGGAUAACUACGCGAAAGCGUAGCUAAUACCGCAUACGCCCUUCGGGGGAAAGCGGGGGACCUUCGGGCCUCGCACUAUUAGAGCGGCCGAUAUCGGAUUAGCUAGUUGGUGGGGUAACGGCUCGCAGGCGACGAUCCGUAGCUGGUUUGAGAGGACGACCAGCCACACUGGGACUGAGACACGGCCCAGACUCCUACGGGGAGGCAGCAGUGGGGAAUUUUGGACAAUGGGGGAAACCUGAUCCAGCCAUCCCGCGUGCAGUGAAGGCCUUCGGGUUGUAAAGCACUUUUGGCAGGAAAGAAACGGCACGGGAUAAUACCACGUGCAGCGGCGUACCUGCAGAAUAAGCACCGGCUAACUACGUGCCAGCAGCCGCGGUAAUACGUAAGGUGCAAGCCGUUAAUCGGAAUACUGGGCGUAAAGCGUGCGCAGGCGGUUCGGAAAGAAAGAUGUGAAAUCCCAGAGCUUAACUUUGGAACUGCAUUUUUAACUACCGAGCUAGAGUGUGUCAGAGGAGGUGGAAUUCCGCGUGUAGCAGUGAAAUGCGUAGAUAUGCGGAGGAACACCGAUGGCGAAGCAGCCUCCUGGGAUAACACUGACGCUCAUGCACGAAAAGCGUGGGAGCAAACAGGAUUAGAAUGCCCUGGUAGUCCGCCUAAACGAUGUCAACUAGCUGUUGGGGCCUUCCGGGCCUUGGUAGCGCAGCUAACGCGUGAAGUUGACCGCCUGGAAAUUGCAGUCGCAAGAUUAAAAACUCAAAGGAAUUGACGGGGACCACCACAAGCGAGUGGAUGAUGUGGAUUAAUUCAGUACAACGCGAAAAACCUUACCUACCCUUGACAUGUCUGGAAUCCCGGGAUUUGGGGUGCUCACCAAGAGAACCGGAACACAGGUGCUGCAUGGCUGUCGUCAGCUCGUGUGUGGAUGUUAGGUUAAGUCCUGGCGACGCAGCCCUUCAUCAUUAGUUGCUACGAAAGGGCACUCUAAUGAGACUGCCGGUGACAAACCGGAGGAAGGUGAGGAUGACGUCAGAGUCUCGCAGCCCGCUUGUAUGGGCCAGGGCUUCACACGUCAUACAAUGGUCGGGACAGAGGGUCGCCAACCCGCGAGGGAGCCAAUCCCAGAAACCCGAUCGUAGUCCGGAUCGCAGUCUGCAACUCGACUGCGUGAAGUCGGAAUCGCUAGUAAUCGCGGAUCAGCAUGUCGCGGUGAAUACGUUCAGGUCUUGUACACACCGCCCGUCCACCACAUGGGAGUGGGUUUUACCGGAAGUAGUUAGCCUAACCGUAAGGAGGGCGAUUACCACGGUAGGAUUCAUGACUGGGGUGAAGUCGUAACAAGGUAA